GUUGAACGCUGGCGGCGUGCCUAAUACAUGCAAGUCGAGCGAACAGACGAGGAUCUUGCUCCUCUGACGUUAGCGGCGGACGGGUGAGUAACACGUGGAUAACCUACCUAUAAGACUGGGAUAACUUCGGGAAACCGGAUCUAAUACCGGAUAAUAUAUUGAACCGCAUGGUUCAAUAGUGAAAGACGGUUUUGCUGUCACUUAUAGAUGGAUCCGCGCCGCAUUAGCUAGUUGGUAAGGUAACGGCUUACCAAGGCAACGAUGCGUAGCCGACCUGAGAGGGUGAUCGGCCACACUGGAACUGAGACACGGUCCAGACUCCUACGGGAGGCAGCAGUAGGGAAUCUUCCGCAAUGGGCGAAAGCCUGACGGAGCAACGCCGCGUGAGUGAUGAAGGUCUUCGGAUCGUAAAACUCUGUUAUUAGGGAAGAACAAAUGUGGAAGUAAAUAUGCACGUAUUGACGGUACCUAAUCAGAAAGCAACGGCUAACUACGUG
rnacentral:rRNA from 1 species